UACGUAGGGUGCAAGCGUUAAUCGGAAUUACUGGGCGUAAAGCGUGCGCAGGCGGUUUUGUAAGUUUGUCGUGAAAUCCCCGGGCUCAACCUGGGAAUGGCGAUGAAGACUGCAAGGCUAGAAUCUGGCAGAGGGGGAUGGAAUUCCGCGUGUAGCAGUGAAAUGCGUAGAUAUGCGGAGGAACACCGGUGGCGAAGGCGGCACGCUGGGUCCCUACUGGACGCUGAGG
rnacentral:rRNA from 1 species